AUUGAACGCUGGCGGCAGGCCUAACACAUGCAAGUCGAGCGGAUGAAGAGAGCUUGCUCUCUGAUUUAGCGGCGGACGGGUGAGUAAUGCCUAGGAAUCUGCCUGGUAGUGGGGGAUAACGUUCCGAAAGGAACGCUAAUACCGCAUACGUCCUACGGGAGAAAGCAGGGGACCUGCGGGCCUUGCGCUAUCAGAUGAGCCUAGGUCGGAUUAGAUAGUUGGUGAGGUAAUGGCUCACCAAGGCGACGAUCCGUAACUGGUCUGAGAGGAUGAUCAGUCACACUGGAACUGAGACACGGUCCAGACUCCUACGGGAGGCAGCAGUGGGGAAUAUUGGACAAUGGGCGAAAGCCUGAUCCAGCCAUGCCGCGUGUGUGAAGAAGGUCUUCGGAUUGUAAAGCACUUUAAGUUGGGAGGAAGGGCAGUAAGUUAAUACCUUGCUGUUUUGACGUUACCGACAGAAUAAGCACCGGCUAACUUCGUGCCAGCCGCCGCCGUAAAAC
rnacentral:rRNA from 1 species